rnacentral:miRNA from 1 species
UUGCUGCAAAAAUAAUUGCAGUUUUUGCCAUUAUUUUUAAUUAUAAUAAUGGCCAAAACUGCAGUUAUUUUUGCACCAA